GUAGUCGUGACCGAGUGGUUAAGGCGACAGACUUGAAAUCUGUUGGGAUAUUCCCGCGCAGGUUGAAAUCCUGCCGACUACG
rnacentral:tRNA from 1 species